rnacentral:rRNA from 1 species
CUCAGAUUGAACGCUGGCGGCAGGCCUAACACAUGCAAGUCGAACGGUAACAGGAAGCAGCUUGCUGCUUCGCUGACGAGUGGCGGACGGGUGAGUAAUGUCUGGGAAACUGCCUGAUGGAGGGGGAUAACUACUGGAAACGGUAGCUAAUACCGCAUAACGUCGCAAGACCAAAGAGGGGGACCUUCGGGCCUCUUGCCAUCGGAUGUGCCCAGAUGGGAUUAGCUUGUUGGUGGGGUAACGGCUCACCAAGGCGACGAUCCCUAGCUGGUCUGAGAGGAUGACCAGCCACACUGGAACUGAGACACGGUCCAGACUCCUACGGGAGGCAGCAGUGGGGAAUAUUGCACAAUGGGCGCAAGCCUGAUGCAGCCAUGCCGCGUGUAUGAAGAAGGCCUUCGGGUUGUAAAGUACUUUCAGCGGGGAGGAAGGGAGUAAAGUUAAUACCUUUGCUCAUUGACGUUACCCGCAGAAGAAGCACCGGCUAACUCCGUGCCAGCAGCCGCGGUAAUACGGAGGGUGCAAGCGUUAAUCGGAAUUACUGGGCGUAAAGCGCACGCAGGCGGUUUGUUAAGUCAGAUGUGAAAUCCCCGGGCUCAACCUGGGAACUGCAUCUGAUACUGGCAAGCUUGAGUCUCGUAGAGGGGGGUAGAAUUCCAGGUGUAGCGGUGAAAUGCGUAGAGAUCUGGAGGAAUACCGGUGGCGAAGGCGGCCCCCUGGACGAAGACUGACGCUCAGGUGCGAAAGCGUGGGGAGCAAACAGGAUUAGAUACCCUGGUAGUCCACGCCGUAAACGAUGUCGACUUGGAGGUUGUGCCCUUGAGGCGUGGCUUCCGGAGCUAACGCGUUAAGUCGACCGCCUGGGGAGUACGGCCGCAAGGUUAAAACUCAAAUGAAUUGACGGGGGCCCGCACAAGCGGUGGAGCAUGUGGUUUAAUUCGAUGCAACGCGAAGAACCUUACCUGGUCUUGACAUCCACGGAAGUUUUCAGAGAUGAGAAUGUGCCUUCGGGAACCGUGAGACAGGUGCUGCAUGGCUGUCGUCAGCUCGUGUUGUGAAAUGUUGGGUUAAGUCCCGCAACGAGCGCAACCCUUAUCCUUUGUUGCCAGCGGUCCGGCCGGGAACUCAAAGGAGACUGCCAGUGAUAAACUGGAGGAAGGUGGGGAUGACGUCAAGUCAUCAUGGCCCUUACGACCAGGGCUACACACGUGCUACAAUGGCGCAUACAAAGAGAAGCGACCUCGCGAGAGCAAGCGGACCUCAUAAAGUGCGUCGUAGUCCGGAUUGGAGUCUGCAACUCGACUCCAUGAAGUCGGAAUCGCUAGUAAUCGUGGAUCAGAAUGCCACGGUGAAUACGUUCCCGGGCCUUGUACACACCGCCCGUCACACCAUGGGAGUGGGUUGCAAAAGAAGUAGGUAGCUUAACCUUCGGGAGGGCGCUUACCACUUUGUGAUUCAUGACUGGGGUGAAGUCGUAACAAGGUAACCGUAGGGGAACCUGCGGUUGGAUCACCUCCUUACCUUAAAGAAGC